CCCCUAGAUGUUCUGGGCCGCACGCGCGCUACACUGAACAGUUCAACAAGUCUUAACCUUGGCCGAUAGGUCUGGGUAAUCUUUGAACGCUGUUCGUGAUUGGGAUAGACCUUUGCAAUUAUGGGUCUUCAACGAGGAAUUCCUAGUAAACGCAAGUCAUCAGCUUGCAUUGAUUACGUCCCUGCCCUUUGUACACACCGCCCGUCGCACCUACCGAUUGAAUGGUCCGGUGAAAUCUCGGGACGGCGGCUUGGUCGCUUGCGUCCGACUGCUGAAACUUGAGUAAACCAUAUCAUUUAGAGGAAGGUGAAGUCGUAACA
rnacentral:rRNA from 1 species